UCAAAUGAUGUCUUGCUGAUG
rnacentral:miRNA from 1 species